GUGCCACUCAGCUCCCCUCUGCUCUGCUCUCUCCAGAGGGAGGGCGCCUGGUCACCCGGAGGGCCAAGACCCAGGGUCACGGCAGUGUGUGUGCCCAGAGACCAGGCUCCUCAGCUGCGGAGACAAAGACCCCCUCGUCUCCUGGAGGCUGCCGGGAAACUCCGGAGGCCUGUGCGGCUCUCUUGCAGCCAAGGACCCCUCCUUCCACCAAAUUUGGCAGAGAUCAGUUUAUCAAAGCCCCACUCGAGGCACACCUGACGGUUGAGGUCCAGGUACACCAUGAAGGGCAUGGAGUGGUCCGACGCCCCCGCUCCCCUCGUCCCGGCCAGGGAGAGGCAGAGGAAAAGAAGCAGAGAGCGCAUGAUGUCUCUGUGAAGCUGGAAAUCUUCACACUGGGCUCAGUGUCUGUGGACCCACCAAACACCCUCCUCCCACCCUCCUCCCACACACACCUGUGCCGUGAGAUGAAGCCAGGUGAUACAGGCUUCAAAAGUGCACAGUCAUUUCACAGCAGGACUUGUGCAGCGAUGAACACAACACACACACUUCGGAUUUUUGUGCUGAAUUUCGCCAUAGUUUAAAAUGAAAGGGUUUCUUCAAUGUUUGUUGUCAAUGUCUUUCGCAGUCUUUGGUGUGAGAACAAUGGCUGUGGACCUGUCUGAGGCUACUUGGGGUAAACUGUAUCCGCCCCCCCUCACUGAUAUCAUCAACCUGCUGUCCCAGUUCUGUUCCUAUGUCACAUAAAUGAGACCAAUGUUGUUGAGGUGGUGUUUCUGAUAUGAAUUCUUAUUGAUAUAAAUAGAGAGGACAGAAUAACACACUGUUGUAUAAGACUUUCAAAAACAACUUAAAUCUCUGUGUGAAUUUAAGUUUUAACUUGAAUUUCAUUGCGGCUUUAUUUUUAUACUUUGUGACAUUGUUAAGAAACGUCCUAAACAAAUAAAACCUCCUGAAUAUCAUUAUUAUUAUCCAUACCGUGUGUCCUGGGGGUCGAGAAGACAAUCCCAGCGGACACUGGUUGAAAGAACAGGUUGGACAGGUGUCCAGUCCAUGGCAGGGCUGACAUACAAAGUUACCAUGACACCUAACCCCAAUCUGCAUGUAUUUACAGUAGAAUGUGGGAGGAGGCCGGAGAAAACCCACGUUAAAAAAUAAACCAAGAACUUCUUUGCU